UCAGACGGAUGGGAAAGCGGUGUCUCCCGGCUUUUCGUCCUGUAAGCAUAAUAAUAUAAAUAAUAAAGACAGCUAAUGUUCUAUGAGGCAGAUAAUGUGUAUGAAACAUAUGGAAUUCCAGAUAAGGAUAGAGACAUAGUAACCUUAGCGGGAAUGAGGGAAAAUCAUAAAGAGCGGAUUAACUCAGCAUUGUACCAGACACUUUCUAGGUACAUCGAGCGGACAAACAGGUUCAGUCAAUCAUUCUCUUGCUGAUAUCAUGCACGAGUAAGCACCCUGGGAAUAAAACCACGUGAAACCAGAUCACAAGCACCUUGAACCGGAAGCAGAAUGAACCGGAAGUAUACAGCACCUUGAGUCUACGUCUAGCGCAACACAGUAGACGGAACCAGCCUCACGGAAAACAGGGAUAUCAAAUAAUUUGUCAGUUUGUACCGUAUCGAUAAGUCGCUAUUCCUGACAUGGGAAUGCUUACACGCUGAUAUUGUGUCUGCCAACCUGCGGUGCGGCCGAUUUUCUCUGGUAGCUUCAAAUUGACAGCGAUAAUCCCGGGGCUGCCAACAAACAACACAAGUGCCAGCGCAAGGUCACCAAAAAUUCCCCGCACCAAAGCUGCUUGGAAUGGCCAGACGUUGUGUGGCAAAGUGGUUCGACGAGGGCGGUGAAUUCUAAAGCACACCUUAGAGAUGGGAGUGGGAAGGCAUCACACCUUCGUCAGUUGACCCCCAUCAACCACUGCAGACAGCCUUGAUGACUUGGACUACAGUGAUGAAGACACUGCAAGAGUGUCUUGGUAUUUCCUUUCUCGUGUCAAGCCGCGCUGUUCAAUGGUGGCUGCCUCCAAUUCUUCAUCAUCAUCACUGUCUUCACUCUCUACUGGAGAUGGAUGGGAAGUGGCUGAUGCAGGAGUGAGGGAGCCACUAGCUGGGCAGCAAUAUGGACAGUCUCCAUAAUCCAGCACCGGCAUGUUCUCAGGGGUAUGGAUGCCAGACUGACUAAGAGUUGGCACAGUCAGUGGGACUUUGUGAUGUGCUCCCAUUCCCAUAUGCAUAUUGCAGUUGUUACGGCACUGCAGGAGAACUUCCGUGUUUGAUAUCUUAACUUCUGGACAUGCUAUAUGGCUAUCCUUUUCAAACAGUGUAUUUGGUAUAUCUUAUAAGUAAUUGGUGAAGUGUUGAUCCCCUAGUGGCUUCUUUUGGAACUACAGGGGCCAAUUUAGUGUUGAUAGCUUACAUUAUAUAUGUUAUAUCAGGAAAAUGUGACUUGCUCAAUAUUACUGUCCCAUUGAGGUAGCCAGAGAAAUAUGGAUUUCUUUUGUCAGGAAUAGCCUUCUUGACACAGUACAAACUGACAAUGUUGCAGCACAAAAAUUAACAUUCCUGUGCAAGUGGGUCAAGUCUGUAUGUAUAUUUUGUAUACUGAAACAUAGAGGGUUUGUCUUGUAAAUAUGUUUCUUGUACAUUGCAACAUACAGUAUUACAGGUGUAACAUCUUACUUGAGCUUUCCGUACAGUAUAUAGAUUUUGAUACAAAUACAGUUGAAAGCAACCAAUUCAUAUUGUACUGUUGAACAACCGUUAAACAUAUACUGUGUUACCGUCAAUCACAAUAUUUACAUAAAAUCUCAAGAAUAUGAAGCAACAGAGAAAACUGUACUGAAUGAUUGCAACCCCUACAUAUCAUAGUGUGGCAUAGCUUUAAAUAUACUACUGUGUUGUACCAAUAAACGAAGAACAUGAGAUGUAAAAGCCUCUGUAAAUACAACAUGUCUAUCUUAACUAGAACCACUGAUACACAUACACUUGUCAGUCUCCAACUGUUGUUGGGGAUAAGUGUAUGGAAACAACCUACAUUGAAAAAGUGCACUUGAUUGUAUUACGGCAAUAAAUAAUUGAAGUCAUUCUGUGAAA